rnacentral:rRNA from 1 species
GCGGCAAAAGCUCAAAUUUGAAAUCUGGCUCUUUCAGGGUCCGAGUUGUAAUUUGUAGAAGAUGCUUUGGGUGUGGCUCUGGUUUAAGUUCUUUGGAAUAUUACAUCAUAGAGGGUGAGAAUCCCGUAUGUGACCAGUCGCCGCGCCCGUGUAAAGCUCUUUCAACGAGUCGAGUUGUUUGGGAAUGCAGCUCAAAAUGGGAGGUAUAUUUCUUCUAAAGCUAAAUAUUGGCCAGAGACCGAUAGCGCACAAGUAGAGUGAUCGAAAGAUGAAAAGCACUUUGGAAAGAGAGUUAAACAGUACGUGAAAUUGUUGAAAGGGAAGCGCUUGCAACCAGACUUGCACGCAGUUGAUCAUCCGGUGUUCUCACCGGGGCACUCUGCUGCGUUCAGGCCAGCAUCGGUUUUGGUGGUUGGAUAAAGGCCUUGGGAAUGUAGCUUCUUUCGGGGAGUGUUAUAGCCCUUGGUGCAAUGCAGCCUACCGGGACCGAGGACCGCGCUUCGGCUAGGAUGCUGGCGUAAUGGUUGUAAGCGGCCCGUCUU